rnacentral:tRNA from 1 species
CUCUCGGUAGCCAAGUUGGUUUAAGGCGCAAGACUGUAAUGUGUUUCAAUUGUAAUCUUGAGAUCGGGCGUUCGAAUCGCCCCCGAGAGA